AACCAGACUGUGCUACCGGAUAGUAAAGGGUGAACCACACAUCCGGCAGAAAAAUUAACCGAAGGCCAAACAUUCUAAAAGGAAGCAGAAAGGCGACACAGAUCCGCACUGAGAGUGGGGUCGGCCUGCAAGCAGAGUAGGGGCACAGAACAAACUCACUUCAGGAUAAGCCUGGCUGCUCUGCACCCAGCAGGCAUUUGCUCCACUAUCCAGUAAGACACUGAGCUUUAUCAUGGAAGCUGCUGACAAUGAUGCAGUUUAAACAGCAACAGCCCCAAAUCCUGUAAAGACCCAGUUUCACACUGGGGAGCCUGACCCGCACUAGAAACCAGACUUCACUCGCCUGAUAAACCAUGUAGCAGCAUCGUGUCUGGGUUUUGGAGGCAGAUUGUUUCUGUUCAACCCUGGCUAUCUUGGACUGUCCUUUUUAGACCAGGUGAAUGGUUUUGUGUGCUGUCCUGUGAGAGCCUCUGCAGGGAGCUCAGAGUAGAGCGAGACACGAAAGCAGUGACCUAUGAUGAUCUGCAUGUGACUUCGAUGGAGAAGCAUGGGAUUUACUGGAUCCUUCCCAGAAAAGUCUCUUAAAAAUGUCACGCUCGAGACCUACAGGAACCUCACUGCUAUGAGCUACAAAGAGGAAGAUGCAACAUUUAAGAACGUUGUCAAAGUUCUAGAAGACAUGAAAGGCACGAUUGCAGUCAUACUAAAGAGAAACCCUUGUUUGAAGUAUAUGGCGAGGUCCAAACAAAUUACACCAUGCAGCAGGUCUCAUGUGGAAGGUUUAUUUUGUGGGGAAAACAGAGGCAGCUUCUGGGAGAGGGAGGAGAAAAGAGGAGUGGUGCAGGUAGAAUGAGGCUUUUAUUGGGACCAGGGGCCAUUGCACACGUGCAAAGUGGCAGACAGAGGAGUGGAUGCUCUCACUUCUUGGGACCACUGGGGAUGACAUAUCUCCUGUCUCCUCACUGGGUCCUUCGAGAGCUGGCUGUAAAGAUGCCUGAUUGGUGUGAAGUCAUUUCUAGCUGUCCAUGGAUGUGCCUGAUUGCCAACACCCUAUAAAUGUUAUCAGUGUGGUAAAGCUUUAAAUAAAUGUAUUUUCUGUCAUCUCAUUGAUAACUUUCA